CUCCUCCCAUCGCACCCCUCCUCCCCCCAUCUCCUCGUUGCCGCCAUCGACGGCGCUCCCCUCGAUCCCUCCCACCGCCGUCUCCCUCCCUUAGAUCGAGCUCCCCAUCCCCUCUCCCUCCCACCUCUCGAAGCUCCCGCGUCCCACCGCCGCGCAUCGUGCUCCUCUGCAGCUUCUGCGGCGACGCAGCCGCCGCUGACUACUCUCCUUCCUCCUUCCUCCAGCACUACUCUCCAACCUCGCCUCUCGCUUAGCCGCCCCGCGCCCCGCGCUCGCCGGGGCCCCGUAGCGCCGCUCAGUCCCUCACGCUCAGGCCCAACGAGGUCGCGCACGCGCUCACCGGCACACCCCUCUUCACCGUCUGCAACUCCAGCAACGCGUUCGUGUUCGUCUCCGCUCCCUCGGCCUCCUCUGCUUCUGUUCCGAGGACGUCGAUGCCCUCCUCUUCGUCCGAGGUCGUCGGAACCACGACGGCCGGCGCGCCCGUGCGUGAGGAGAUGAUGACGACCCCGACAAGCCAUUCAGGGCCAGCAAGAAGGCCACCGCCCCAGCACCACCAGCAGCAGUACCCUCAAGGGACGAGACCACCGGCGCCCACCAGGAUCUCCGCCGCUACAUCUUGGUAACGAUCACGUGAGAAAGCACCGCAGGUGGGCGGCUGCAUCUGAGGCUGAGGAAUUUGGUUCGGGGUGAGCGGGGGAUGGCUUAAUCCUAGAAGGGAUCUGAUGCGCUACUGCAGACAUACGAACACAGGAGGGGUCCAGAUUUGCCGUUUGCCAGAUUCGCGCUCGUGCCGUAGGUUGCCAGCGAAGUACCUCAGCCUGUUCAGGCAUCUUUCAUACAUUGAGCAACAACGGCGAACUCGAGCGGAUGAUGGAAGGCCUCGGUUUGGAGCCAAGAAAAGGCGUGGACGAGGCCAUUUCUGCAAGGCCGCCCGCAAAUUGCUGCAUGCAACAUCGAUGUAGCUCUGAUCCAGAACCUGGUUCUUGGAUGCAACACGCAUUGUCCUGGACAGGUAUAGCCCCGGUCAUACCAUAAUAUGUUAGUGCUCAGUCAUGUAUGCAUCUCCAUGUUGCAAGCCUGCCAUACUUGAUAGGAUCAGUACUUAUUAACUACUCAUAUGUGCUUGUAGAGAAGAAUACAAUUAUUAUUUAACCAGUCCAGAUUUUUAACAUUUGAUGUGCUUCCAAGGGACACAGAUCUCUACUCUUCUAUAUAAUCCACACUUUGUUCUGGAAGCAAGUCAGUUGUACCAUGCUGUUACAUCACAACAAGGUGUCAUUUAUCACAACAAGAUCAGGAUCUAAUGUUGUUGAGGUGGCUGCUGUUGUGACCAUGAUCAGAAGAAGCCUGGAGAUGUGCACAAUAGUUUUAGUUGAUGUUGCCACCAUGUUUUGGUGCAUGUGUAUUUCUUUUUGAUUGUAUGCACACUUGAUGGAUCGUGUAGACGUGUAUGUGCUGUUGUGAGUUUCAUUGAGUGAUUUCUGGAUUUGAUCAUUUAAUUGUGAGAAUUAUUGAUUGUUUGCUGUUGAAAUGUGUAAAAGAAAUCUGUGAAUGAAAAGGCUGAAUGUUCUAUUGGAUC